CAUUUCUAGAUACUUCACACAUGUCAAUUGCAAACAGAUUCACAACUCUUGGUUGUCAUCCGACGAACACCCAACUGCGUAAAGAUUCUGAUAUUCAGCUACACUGACGAAUAUUUCCGCGUGUCAGCUGUAGCGAACGUUCACAGGGAAGGCACAUUUCUUUUGACGACAUACGUAGUGGGCGAGUGUUGUAAUUCACUCGUUUCUUCAUGCAGCGUAUCCUUCAUGGCGGUUCAACGUUAAAGGCUCGAAGGACAACGACUUAUUCAUUGUGACGAAAGAUUCCUUCGUCAAAUGUGCUGAAACUAAACCAUCGUCAUCAAAAGCGCCAGCACAGAAACAGGAAAAGACCACCAAAACGUAGGAAUAGGCCAAACGAAUCCGCGAAUCCUAAAAUCCUAUAGGCAGGGAUGUGAGGCACGGGAAUCCAAAUCCCAGUGUCCAGAACGACAAAUCGAAUCCUUUGAAUUCACCAACCACGUACGUUUCUUUUUAGAAUCGGCGCCUCCGGUGUCAGCUGAAAGCCUGGUUGGUUGGCGGGACCCGGGGCGCGCCAAGACCACAAAAUAAAACUCUGUCCACGUUACAAGUUUAAAAGUAA